rnacentral:rRNA from 1 species
UACGAAGGGGGGCUAGCGUUGCUCGGAAUCACUGGGCGUAAAGCGCACGUAGGCGGAUCUUUAAGUCAGGGGUGAAAUCCUGGAGCUCAACUCCAGAACUGCCUUUGAUACUGGGGAUCUCGAGUCCGGGAGAGGUGAGUGGAACUGCGAGUGUAGAGGUGAAAUUCGUAGAUAUUCGCAAGAACACCAGUGGCGAAGGCGGCUCACUGGCCCGGUACUGACGCUGAGGUGCGAAAGCGUGGGGAGCAA